rnacentral:lncRNA from 1 species
CUACUCGAGGCAGUCAUUUGGUAGUAUGGAAAUUAUAGGAUUUAAUACCUCCAAAAGGCAGCCUUUGGAAUCUUGAGUAUGCCAUAAAACAUCUCCAUAAGAGAAGAUGGGUCCCAGUGGACUAGAUGAUCUCAGAGAUUUCGUUGUGGUAUAUAUUCUAUAUUCAUAUGACUAGGUGGAGAGGCUUUGGUACAAUUAUGACAAUGUCAUCUGUGAAUAAAAACAUUUGAAGAAUCCCUCCAUAAGAACUUCUGUUUGAAUCUGCAUUUAAGCCUCCUAAAACAUGAAAAUGGUGGUUCGUUCUGCUGCUUGAUGACAUCCAUAGAAUUUACUGUGUUAGAAACUAUAGAAUGUAUGGAAAUCUGCACAUGGUCUCUGCUUGAUAUCAGCAAAGAGGAUAGAGCCCAGCCCUUGAGACAGAGAGCCAGUAUAAAUACAGCUUAUGAUCACCAGGAAAAGAAACAUGAACUCAGAAGAAUUAAGUGGAAGUUGUUCCCAAAAUCACUGGAAAGAGAUUCAAAGAUUAUACAUAAACCAUAGCUUUAUUAUCAGCGAUCACAUAUGUACAAAAAGUCAUUUAAAGCCCUCAAUGGUAUUCAUGAUUACAGAAGGAGUUGACUUGGAUCUGUAGCAAGUAGCUAUUUUAAGCAAUGCUGAAACACAAAAAUAGAAAACCAGAGGAAGCAUAUUUUUCCAUGUCUUUUUAGAGUCAAGCACCUCUUCCACUCCCAUCCCUUGGGACUUGGAUCUAAAGAUCAGAUAUCCUAGGGGCAUUUACAAUAUAUUAAAAAUAUAAAUGUUUUCUUGGUGUGAGAAACCAUAGAUUGAUUGUUAUUUGCUUUAGCAAAGGGGGAUAUCUACACUGAAAAGAUUACAUAUAGAUUUUAAUCUAUUUUUAAAAU